GUUGACGUUUGAGGCAGGUUUGGUACAAGACUAAAAUAAUUUGCACACCAGACAGGUUGCCUGUAGUAGCAGCUGGAGCUGCUCUGAUUGCGGACUAGCUAAUGGCCAUAGCUUGAAUUGCUUCAAUGAUGUAACUGUCAAAAAGGUUGUGAAGAAUCCACAAGAACAAGAGCAGUUCCCACCUGGUUUCCAUGGCAUCUGCCCAACUCACAGCAGGAAAGGAAGCAGAUCUCGGCAGUGCUGAGUUCGCCCUCUUCUGGACGGAAGUGAGGGCUCCAAUAAGCCUUGGUCUAAUUAGCCGUGCUGUCAAAACAUUUCUGCACAAGUCCUUUUAGAAAACUCUACUGCAUGCUCUCACUGAACUAUUCCGAGGGGAGAUUUGUUAAUUUGGACUUAUGUAACACCGCAGCUCGCUGCCAUUAUGGGAAAAACAAAUGAAAAGGUCAAAUGAU